GGGAGGCAGCAGUGGGGAAUUUUGGACAAUGGGCGCAAGCCUGAUCCAGCCAUGCCGCGUGAGUGAAGAAGGCCUUCGGGUUGUAAAGCUCUUUCGGCGGGGAAGAAAUUGCACUCUCUAAUACGGGGUGUAGAUGACGGUACCCGCAUAAGAAGCACCGGCUAACUACGUGCCAGCAGCCGCGGUAAUACGUAGGGUGCGAGCGUUAAUCGGAAUUACUGGGCGUAAAGCGUGCGCAGUCGGUUGUGUAAGUCAGAUGUGAAAUCCCCGGGCUCAACCUGGGAACUGCAUUUGAGACUGCACGGCUAGAGUGUGACAGAGGGGGGUAGAAUUCCACGUGUAGCAGUGAAAUGCGUAGAGAUGUGGAGGAAUACCGAUGGCGAAGGCAGCCCCCUGGGUUACUACUGACGCUCAUGCACGAAAGCGUGGGGAGCAAACAGGAUUAGAUACCCUGGUAGU
rnacentral:rRNA from 1 species